GUUGGUGAUUUAACGCGGUGGUCACACCUGGCUCCAUUCCGAACCCAGAAGUUAAGCACCGUAGUACCGAUGGUACUCGUAAGGGGAGAGUAGGUAAUCGCCAGCA
rnacentral:rRNA from 2 species